rnacentral:rRNA from 1 species
CCUACGGGGGGCAGCAGUGGGGAAUAUUGGGCAAUGGGCGCAAGCCUGAUCCAGCAACGCCGCGUGAAGGAAGAAGGCUUUCGGGUUGUAAACCUCUUUUCUCAGGGACGAAACAAGUGACGGUACCUGAGCAAUAAGCCACGGCUAACUACGUGCCAGCAGCCGCGGUAAUACGUAGGUGGCAAGCGUUAUCCGGAUUUACUGGGUGUAAAGGGCGCGUAGGCGGUACAGUAAGUCUGAUGUGAAAAGCACGGGCUCAACCUCGGGACUGCAUUUGAAACUGUUGUACUUGAGUGCAGGAGAGGCAGGCGGAAUUCCUAGUGUAGCGGUGAAAUGCGUAGAUAUUAGGAGGAACACCAGUGGCGAAGGCGGCCUACUGGACUGCAACUGACGUUGAGGCGCGAAAGCGUGGGGAGCAAACAGGAUUAGAUACCCGAGUAGUC